UUAGAUUUUGAUGCAUAGUAACCUUUUGUUCAAUAAAGGGUCCCCAUUUACACUAAAAGUGAGAUUGCUGUCUCCGUUACCACACUUAUUAUGAACCGACAUCUAUUGCGAUGUAUGUUGUGAAAUGCUCACUGCAGAUGACAUUGAAAUGUUGGAAAAUCAAGUAUCCUUUCGUUUCUUAUUUAUAAUAUUGAAAUCACAAAAAUGACAUUCUCUAACCAUUUUAUUUGAUUUUCCAGAAAACAUUGAACUGCAAGGAGGCAAACCAUAAUUACUCGUCAACAUCUAUUAAAACGGAUGCAUAAUUUCUAGCUAUUUCUGAAAAUAGAAAAGCAGAGGAACUGAAGCGCGUGCCAUCCCGAGAUCAUCUUUCGUGAGUAGAGGGACCGAACAAAUCAAUCGCCAGAGCAUGGAAUCAACAUGCGACAGCCUUUUGCAUGUCUCCUCGUCACAAGUAAAAUGUUGCCAGGCCAGAAACCUUUUUAAUGUGCAGAAAUAGAACAAGAAAUAUUUCCAGCGACUACUUCAGUUUCUGACAAAUUCUCUACCAGCAAUCUGGGUGAUCGAGAAAUUUAUUUUCUCGGAAUGGUAUCGUAGAGAUAACGAAAGCAAGUUUUCUGAAGCCAUGCGGAGGCAAACUACAUAUAAUUUAUGUGGAAGCUUCUAUUAAGACAGAAGCGGGCUUUCCAGCUAUUUCUCAACAGAAGAAAGUUACCUGAAUGAUUCUGAAGCGAUAUCGGCAUGUUGCAAGAAUUUCGGUUUUGAUCUAUAGUCAUGAUCUUUUGCUGACUACAGGUUUAUCACUUAUCACCAGAAGAUACUGCUUUCUUGGCUCCACACAUGCUCUGAUCUGACAUCAACUAAGCUGGAUGCUAUGAAAUACUCACUACUGAUGACAAGGCAAAUUUCCAGUAAGCUGCAAGGAGACAAACCACAAUCAUCUGUAAAUAUCCAGCAAAACAGAAGCAGCAUAUCCAGUUAUUUCUCAAUAUGGGAAUCGUCGAAUUUGAAACGCUUGCCAUUCCGAGAUCAACUUCUGCAACUAUAGUGUCUGUAGAAAUCGGUCUAUUGAGAAUGAAUCUACCAUGUGACAGCCUUCUGCAAGUCCUCCUCACCACUAAAAUGUUGCUCUGCUAUAAGCCGCUUCACGUACAGUGACAGAACGUGAAAUGUUGGGUGUCUGUUAAGAAUACGCCUUCGUCGAUGUGAUCCUGGAAUAAGACAAUACCUGGACCCUUCAUCAAGCGCAUAUUGGAGUGCGGAUGCUGCACAGUUCAAUUACGGACGAAGACUAUAUUUGAAUUUUUAUAUUAUCAAUAUGUUCAGAAGCAAAUUUCAAACGGAACUAAUUGACUCAAUGGAAGAAACGGAUAUUAUAAAAACAGCGGUAUAACAAAUUUGUAACAAAACCUAGAUUUAAUUUUCGCAAAUAAUAAUAUAAAUUGCAUUUGAGAACAUAUUUGUUAUUACUAAAUUUGAUAAGAAUUGUUUGACAUGACAGAUUGCCACUAUACAACUUUAAAAAUCUUGGAUUUUCAUUACUGUAAUCUUUCUAUUAUAUCGGCAGAAUUUCUUUCCAUUUACAAACCAAUUUUAUAAAGAAAACUGAACCACUUCGUUGUAACUGAAGCCAUUUCUUGACCUUGUUUAUUUCUAAAUCUUCAUUUUGUGAUUUUGAAUGACGAUUAUAAAAGAAUCCUUCAUAUUCGAAUAGGUGUUUCAUUCCUGUAUCUAUAACGAAAUUUGGAUUUUGAUCUCUGUAAUGCUAGUAUCAAUUAUGUAAAUGAAUUUCAUUAAAUUUCCCUUAGUUAUCAAUCUCGAAAUCUCGAUAAUCAGAGCUUCAAUCUACAAGUUUAUUAAUAUGUGGCGUUUAAUAUGUACUUGUGUUUGAUUAAUGUAUGGAAUAUUCCUUAAAGGAAAAAUGUUUCUGUCUUAUGUAUACGAUGUAGGAAGAUGCAUUGUUAACAAAUAUAUUGGUUUUUCUAAUCGUUUGAAAUAAGGUUGAAAAUAUUGCAGUUAUCUUGUAUUGGAACACAUGAAAGAAUCCCGAGUUUUGAAAAAUAAAUUAUAAUUGCAUAGAAGUAUUAAUUGAAUAUGAAAUGUCUUUAAACAAAUUUCUAAUUUGAAUGUUUGAGAACAAUUUUUAUAUUGCAAGAUUUAUUUUGCAUGCAUUAUCUUCAUCUUAAUUUCUAGCCUUUAAUUGUUCUUAAGUUAAAAUUUUAAAAAUAUAUGCAAAGAAUUAAUUUAGUUUAAGUUUCAGAGAUUUUACCUUUGUCUAUUCAUUGCAUCCAUUUAUAAAUAUUUUUAAAAACUAAUCUUUUUAUUAAAUUUAAAAUAAAAUUUAGCAAUAUCAAUAGAAAAUUUUAAAUCGUGAAUUUUAAAUAUAUUUUACAUUUUGGCUCUAAAUUUUCUGUAAAUCUUUAUCCGCGGACAAAGGAUAUUUUGACUGGUUCGGCCGGCCAACCAAUGGAAAUAUUCUUGUCCUCUUCAAAAGCAUUUGAUCACCGUGCCUGAUCACCAUGGUGAUCAGAAUGCUUUUUUAAGAGAAAUUGUAUGGGGAUAGAUUGUCGGAAUAUCGUUUUAUUUCUAGAAUAGCGAAUGGAUGAAAUGAAUGGUAAAUGGUAUAGUUUAAUUUUUAAUUUUCGUUUUCCAAUUAUGAUUAGGGGAAAGUUAGGAAUUUUGAAUUAUAAGUUUCUACUGAAUAAAAUUUGCACGAAACAUUCUUCCUAAUUUAAUGAAAUGUUAAAUAUUAUGGUAUAAUGUUAAAUAUUAAUAAAAUCUUAAAUAUGCAUUAUACAUUUAAAAAUUCUAAAUAAAAAAAAUUCCGU